GCAGUGUGGUGCUGUGGGGAGAGUCCGAAGACCUGAGUUACCUCUGAGCCUGAGCCUGCUUAUGCCUGAUGAGCUAUUACGGAGCCAGAGAGUGUGAUGAGGCAUCAGAGGCAAUUACCUGCAGGUCUUGUGAUAGGCUCCAUGCCAUUCAACUAGGAUUCAGCCAAUCCACAGGGCAACAACAAAGCUGAGUGAACUCUGGGGCGAGCCCCUCGCUACGCAGCACUGACAAAGCUGAAAUCACUCUAGCUGGAGCAUCCACACCAGACCAGGCAGAGUUCCCCUACGGGCUGGAGCUGGACCUGCCUGAACGCCCUCCUAGACCUUGGGACUUUGCUAACUACUGACAACAAACUGUAGUGAAGGAGCAAGCAGACCCACUGGCUGGCUGCAUCUGGUUCCCAUGUGUAAGUCCCCGUUCGCAGAAAGCCUUCUGACAAAGACAAGCCGCAUAAUAUGGUUCCAG